AUUGCUUCUUGGCCUUUUGGCUAAGAUCAAGUGUAGAAUCAUUGUGGAUGGGAGAAAGGUAAUGAUGAAGAUAGCAAAGAAUUCCACAUGGAUAAUUUCUGAGUCUUUGCAUGUUUCUGGAGUCUGCCUAGAUAUGUUAGGUAAACCUCUGACUACUGUUUUAAAGCUUGAAGCCUGGGAUUAUCUAUC